rnacentral:pre_miRNA from 1 species
UUUGGCAAUGGUAGAACUCACACUGGUGAGAUAUCUGGAUCCGGUGGUUCUAGACUUGCCAACUA